rnacentral:rRNA from 1 species
UUUUAAUAUAUCUAGUUUUUUAAGAAAUUAAUUUAAUUUAGAUAUUUUAUUUUAAUAUUUUAUUUUUUUUUAAAUACUUAUAAUUAAAUAUUAAUAUUUUAAGGGAUGAGCUUUAAGAUAAAGUUUUAUAAAUAAUUUUAUUAAUUCAAUAAUUGUAAGCUUAGAAUUAGUUAUCAAUAGAAAUUAUGUUUUAAUUUAUUUUAAAUUUAAUAUUAUUUAAUAUUUAUUUUAAAAGAUUUAUUAAAUUAUAAAUUUUAAUUUUAUAAAUUUAGGAAUAAUGAUAAAAUUAGUAAAUAAUUAUGAUUAUAUAAAUAUUAUUUUUAUUGAUUGGUUUUUUUAAUUAAUUCGGCAAAUUUUAUAUUCACCUGUUUAUCAAAAACAUGUCUUUUUAGUAUUUAAUAUAAAGUCUGACCUGCCCACUGAAUAGUGUUUAAAGGGCCGCAGUAUUUUAACUGUGCAAAGGUAGCAUAAUCAUUAGUCUUUUAAUUGAAGGCUGGCAUGAAUGGUUGGAUGAGAUAUAAACUGUGUCAUAAAAAUUAUUAUUUGAAUUUAACUUUUUAGUCAAAAGGCUAAAAUAAAUUUAAAAGACGAGAAGACCCUAUAGAGCUUUAUAUAAUAAAUAUUUAGAUUAUUAAGAUUUAUUAAAUUUAAUUUUUAUAUUAUAUUUUGUUGGGGUGACAAUAAAAUUUAUAAAACUUUUAUUUUUAUUUUACAUUAAUUAAUGGCUACAUGAUCCAAUUUUAUUGAUUAUAAAUUUAAGUUACCUUAGGGAUAACAGCGUAAUUUUUUUUGAGAGUUCUUAUCGACAAAAAAGAUUGCGACCUCGAUGUUGGAUUAAGAGUAAUUUUGGGUGUAGAAGUUCAAAAUUUAAGUCUGUUCGACUUUUAAAUUCUUACAU